CGGCCUCUCCAUGAAGAGCAACCUUGUUAGUGGCUCUCAUUUAGCAGUCAGAGCUCUGCCUUUCUAAUCACUCAGCAAUUCUACUCUGUUCCUUCCCAAGCACUGAGCAUUUCCGAUUUGAAGAAUUGCUUUCCCAUAAUUAAAUGAAAAAGAGUUAGUUGCAGUCCUCUGCACAAAUUACUACCCAGUGAAUGCGGAAUAACGUAUUAUAAGUAGUACUUUAUUCUAUUUAUUGUACAGGUAUUGAUGUGUGUUGGAUUUGUUCUAUUUUGGAGGCACUGCCAUGGUAACUAGUCUCUCCUGACAAAGGCUUUAUGUCAGAGCAGAAGUGGAAUACGCAGAAACUGAACUUCGGGUAGCCAGCGAGACGAAGGCUGCCAGCAUCAGCCUCACCACAGCAUCACCACAAAACUCUCUGGUGUGCCCGUGUUCCUCUGAGUCCACUGCUCACUGCGGAGUCACGGGGGAACAGAGGCAAGGUGGCAGCAGCCAGCUCUGUCUUUUUAAGUUCAUGGACAACAAUCUGCUUGUCCUUGUGGGUACUGAAAGCAUCUGCCAUCUUCUCAGUAGCAGGACACAGAAAUUAAAGGGCACUUACAGGUGUGAAAACCAACUGACAAAGUGCUGCUUCAAGUCCGAUAGUGAUCGCCUCUGCCAAAUUUGAAGGUUUUGCCCAGCCUUUCACUGGAGGUCUUGGGUGACCUGGAGCAGGAGACAGCUGUGGGAGCUACCCGUGUCAAUAUUCCCCUUCUUAUUCCCAAUGGCUUCGAACUGUGCCAGCUGACA
rnacentral:lncRNA from 1 species